rnacentral:tRNA from 1 species
GAUUCCGUAGUGUAGUGGUUAUCACGUGCGCCUAACACGCGCAAGGUCCCCGGUUCUAGCCCGGGCGGAAUUU